rnacentral:rRNA from 1 species
GACGAACGCUGGCGGCGUGCUUAACACAUGCAAGUCGAACGGAAAGGCCCUGCUUUUGUGGGGUGCUCGAGUGGCGAACGGGUGAGUAACACGUGAGUAACCUGCCCUUGACUUUGGGAUAACUUCAGGAAACUGGGGCUAAUACCGGAUAGGAGCUCCUGCUGCAUGGUGGGGGUUGGAAAGUUUCGGCGGUUGGGGAUGGACUCGCGGCUUAUCAGCUUGUUGGUGGGGUAGUGGCUUACCAAGGCUUUGACGGGUAGCCGGCCUGAGAGGGUGACCGGCCACAUUGGGACUGAGAUACGGCCCAGACUCCUACGAGAGGCAGCAGUGGGGAAUAUUGCACAAUGGGCGGAAGCCUGAUGCAGCAACGCCGCGUGCGGGAUGACGGCCUUCGGGUUGUAAACCGCUUUCGCCCGUGACGAAGCGUGAGUGACGGUAAUGGGUAAAGAAGCACCGGCUAACUACGUG